ACCGGAACAAGUGCCGGUUAAGGUUAAGGUUACGGUGCACGCGGAGACUUCCGCUUCCUUUCUCUUCUUCGCGACGCUUACUUUCUUAAAGAGCCGGUUAAAAAGAAACAGAAGAAAGCGAGAGAAGAGAUUCGAGUACGAAAUACUCGGUCUUUCCCAUUUAUCUUAGAGGCAAAUGGGAGCCUUUGGGACAUCUUGAGGAGGGGUGUGAGAUGGAUCAAACAUGUGCUUUAGGAACAGCACUUGGCAAACUGGAGGAUGGACAGAAAAAGAGACUCAAGGAAGGGAAAUGAGCAAUGAUGCCAAGUUAAAAACAGGUGCAACUCGGGUACCUAUAUGGAGACUUCCCUGACAACGUAGCUGGAUGUGAUUCCUUAAAUUUCUCACAGCAUUCUGACUGAAACUUUCCUUUGUACUUAUCACAUUGUGCUUAAAGAAUAAUAAAGAACAGUUCUUUUUAUACA